UGGUCCAUAACUUUGGCAUCUUUGGACGAGUCCUAUGAAGUUCAAAAAUAUUUUAGAGUGUUGGGAAACUACAUGUUCAGAAGCAUCCUUAAGAAAGACCUGGAUAGGGUGGUGGGAGAGCAAUACAAGAGUCGUGCUGUUAGGCGAAGCAGCCCGAAUGUUGCACCCUAGAUGGUGAAAGUCCAGUAACCAAAAGCAUCACUAGCUUAUGCUCUGACCCGAGUAGCAUGGGGCACGUGGAAUCCCGUGUGAAUCAGCAAGGACCGCCUUGCAAGGCUAAAUACUCAUGGGUGACCGAUAGCAAAGUAGUACCGUGAGAGAAGGAUGAAAAGAACCCGCAUAUGGGAGUGAAAUAGAACAUUAAACCG
rfam:Nicotiana attenuata strain TT chromosome 11, whole genome shotgun sequence.